rnacentral:misc_RNA from 1 species
GAUGAAGAACGUAGCAAAAUGCGAUAAGUAGUGUGAAUUGCAGAAUUCAGUGAAUCAUCGAAUCUUUGAACGCACAUUGCGCCCCUUGGUAUUCCAUGGGGCAUGCCUGUUCGAGCGUCAUUGACACCCUCAAGCUCUGCUUGGUGUUGGGUGUUUGUCUCGCCUCUGCGUGUAGACUCGCCUCAAAACAAUUGGCAGCCGGCGUAUUGAUUUCGGAGCGCAGUACAUCUCGCGCUUUGCACUCAUAACGACGACGUCCAAAAGUACAUUUUUACACUCUUGACCUCGGAUCAGGUAGGGAUACCCGCUGAACUUAAGCAUAUCAAUAAGCGGAGGA